AGAUUUUGGAUCGUCCUCUACUCACUCUACCACUUUGUUUUUCCUUGCCAGACUUCAUUCAAGGAUAAGAAAGAAGCCUGCUACAAGAGAGACAGCGAAAGGGAGCCUCAAAGACAUUUUUAUUAGGAUCUGCUAAUCAUGAGGGGGCAGACAAAAGAACCUGCAUUUUCCUUCAGCUUAAUAUCAGGGGUCGCCACAGCGUAAGGAACUGGAUAUUACUUUGGCAUGUUUUACAUAGCCUUCCAGCUGCAACCCAGCACUGUGAAACACCCAUACACUCUCGUAUUCACAGACACUUCUACACUAUGUUCAAAUUCACCUAUAGCACAAGUGUUUGGACUGUGGUGGAAACCCACACCAAAACAGGGAGAACAUGCAAACUCCACACAGAAAUGCCAGCGGACCCAGCCGGGACUCAUACCAGCAACCUUUUUGCUGUGAGGUGACAGUCUGAGCCACUGUGCUGCCCCAGUCUAGUUAUUAAUAACCUCCAGAUGUUUUACAGUUUGAUUUUGUAAUAAUAAUGCACGUUUAGAUUUAUUGUAAUAUGUUAAUAUUUAUUCGCAAUGUAAUUUAUUCUUAUGUUAUUUAUAAUAACGUUAAAUGUCAUAAGAAUGUUAUAAUUUAAUAUAAUAUUAUAAUAAAUAAUUAUAAUAAUGUUAAAAUAUAAACAAUACAAUUUUUUUAAUAGUUUAUUUUUAUAAUGAGAAGUCUCAAAGUUUGUCUUUAUUAUAGAAAACUCAUUGUUGAAUGGCUACCACUUUACAAUAAGGUUGUAUGUAUUAGUUAAUGUAUUUACUAACAUAAUAAACAAUACAUUUAUUACAGUAUUUAUUCAUCUUUGCUAAUGUUGGUAAAUGGUAAAAAGUUGUUAAUUGUUUAUUCAUGUUAACUCGCAAUGUAUUAAUUAAUGUUAACAAGCAUGACUGAUUUUAUUAAUGCAUUAGUAAAUGCUGUACAUAAAUUAUGCUGUACAGGUAUUGUUCAUGUUAGUUCAUAUUUAAACCAUUAACAUUACUUAUAAAACUACUGUAAAAUGUAACUGUUGUAUGUAUGUUGUUAUAUUAUAUUUGUAUGUAUUUUAUAUGUAUUUUAUAUUUAUUUUGUUAUAUUUGUUAACGUAUGUGUUUUUGAAACACUUCAUUAAGUGUUUAAUGUAUGUUCGUUAUGCAGUAUUAUAAAUAAAUGUUAUUAUGAU
rnacentral:lncRNA from 1 species